rnacentral:tRNA from 1 species
GCGAGAGUGGCGGAAUUGGCAGACGCGCUGGACUUAGGAUCCAGUGGGCUUCGGCCCGUGGGGGUUCGAGUCCCCCCUCUCGCA